rnacentral:rRNA from 1 species
AUUGAACGCUGGCGGCAUGCCUUACACAUGCAAGUCGAACGGUAACGCGGGGCAACCUGGCGACGAGUGGCGAACGGGUGAGUAAUAUAUCGGAACGUGCCCAGUAGUGGGGGAUAGCCCGGCGAAAGCCGGAUUAAUACCGCAUACGACCUACGGGUGAAAGCGGGGGAUCGCAAGACCUCGCGCUAUUGGAGCGGCCGAUAUCAGAUUAGCUAGUUGGUGGGGUAAAAGCCUACCAAGGCGACGAUCUGUAGCUGGUCUGAGAGGACGACCAGCCACACUGGGAAUGAGACACGGCGCAGACUCCUACGGGAGGCAGCAGUGGGGAAUUUUGGACAAUGGGCGCAAGCCUGAACCAGCCAUGCCGCGUGUGGGAAGAAGGCCUUCGGGUUGUAAACCACUUUUGUCAGGGAAGAAACGGUCUGGUCUAAUAAACCGGACUAAUGACGGUACCUGAAGAAUAAGCACCGGCUAACUACGUGCCAGCAGCCGCAGUAA